rnacentral:tRNA from 1 species
UAUAUUUUAGUGUAAGGAGCAUAUGAACUUUUGAUGUUUAUGGUAACAGUUUAAUUCUGUUUAAUAUAA